rnacentral:sRNA from 1 species
GCCGAACCCUUUCGUCGUGAUUUUCUUUAGGGCUAAGAUAGGCCAACGCCCUGUGGAGUCUUUGGACGAUUGGGACAAAUUCGAAUCUAGCAGCCAUUCUGACACAGUUCUAGGCGUAAUAUUCGGAGAUACGGUUACCUAAAUUUUAGAUACGAUACACCGCAUACCCAAUCUGCCUUGGAUGAUGUAUGUCUGGUCAUCGUCAUGGUAAUGCAAUCGGGGAGAACCCAAAUCUCCAGAUCCUCGGGGCUGAGAAAACCAGCGACCUGUUCUGCAUGGGGCAAUCGCAAUUCACAAUUGACACGCAGACAGUUGGACCCUGGUUGUAAAUAAUUGAUUGAGGGUCUUUGGGAUCGCCCAUUUGAAGGGUUCGAGGGGAAGAUAACCUAAAAGGGUGCGGACCUGCUAAAGCUCAAGGAUCUUUUCGAAUCGGGUUCACAAGAAACUAGGGACUCGGUGGCGGCGAGCCGGAUUUCAAACUACUGUUGCGUGAUGCAAGGGCAAACAGAUGGGCGGGAAUAACAAAUAAUAAGGGGGUGAAAGUAAAAAUGUAAAAUCACAAAGAAUACGAGCAGCACGUGCACAUGCAUGGAGGUAUCAGCACGUAGUACGAAUACCCAGCCUGGGGAACUUUAGCAUGGCGGACUUGCUAUUUGUGAACACCACCAGUUGGGAGCAGAAUGGAGGAAAUACAGCACGAGAGUUCCGUAUUGCCCUGGCAGUCUGUAGCCUGAGCCCUUCGUAACUUGGUGGUGUCCUUUCAGGGACCAGUCGAAAAUUUGCAUUGGUGACGCCCAUCAGACAGCCACUGCGGCUGGAAGGAAAAGAAAACAACUAGCUUCAUCAGGCCAUUCAAUGAUUCUUGACGCCAGCCAUGACGGAGCUUGUGUGCAAAAUCUAUUACUGUAUUUCCCUUGGCGGGUUAUAGAAUAAUAUGAAAUCUGCAU